GACGAACGCUGGCGGCGUGCUUAACACAUGCAAGUCGAACGGAAAGGCCCUGCUUUUGUGGGGUGCUCGAGUGGCGAACGGGUGAGUAACACGUGAGUAACCUGCCCUUGACUUUGGGAUAACUUCAGGAAACUGGGGCUAAUACCGGAUAGGAGCUCCUGCUGCAUGGUGGGGGUUGGAAAGUUUCGGCGGUUGGGGAUGGACUCGCGGCUUAUCAGCUUGUUGGUGGGGUAGUGGCUUACCAAGGCUUUGACGGGUAGCCGGCCUGAGAGGGUGACCGGCCACAUUGGGACUGAGAUACGGCCCAGACUCCUACGGGAGGCAGCAGUGGGGAAUAUUGCACAAUGGGCGGAAGCCUGAUGCAGCAACGCCGCGUGCGGGAUGACGGCCUUCGGGUUGUAAACCGCUUUCGCCUGUGACGAAGCGUGAGUGACGGUAAUGGGUAAAGAAGCACCGGCUAACUACGUGCCAGCAGCCGCGGUGAUACGUAGGGUGCGAGCGUUGUCCGGAUUUAUUGGGCGUAAAGGGCUCGUAGGUGGUUGAUCGCGUCGGAAGUGUAAUCUUGGGGCUUAACCCUGAGCGUGCUUUCGAUACGGGUUGACUUGAGGAAGGUAGGGGAGAAUGGAAUUCCUGGUGGAGCGGUGGAAUGCGCAGAUAUCAGGAGGAACACCAGUGGCGAAGGCGGUUCUCUGGGCCUUUCCUGACGCUGAGGAGCGAAAGCGUGGGGAGCGAACAGGCUUAGAUACCCUGGUAGUCCACGCUGUAAACGGUGGGUACUAGGUGUGGGGUCCAUUCCACGGGUUCCGUGCCGUAGCUAACGCUUUAAGUACCCCGCCUGGGGAGUACGGCCGCAAGGCUAAAACUCAAAGGAAUUGACGGGGCCCCGCACAAGCGGCGGAGCAUGCGGAUUAAUUCGAUGCAACGCGUAGAACCUUACCUGGGUUUGACAUGGAUCGGGAGUGCUCAGAGAUGGGUGUGCCUCUUUUGGGGUCGGUUCACAGGUGGUGCAUGGCUGUCGUCAGCUCGUGUCGUGAGAUGUUGGGUUAAGUCCCGCAACGAGCGCAACCCUUGUUCACUGUCGCCAGCACGUUAUGGUGGGGACUCAGUGGAGACCGCCGGGGUCAACUCGGAGGAAGGUGGGGAUGACGUCAAGUCAUCAUGCCCCUUAUGUCCAGGGCUUCACGCAUGCUACAAUGGCUGGUACAGAGAGUGGCGAGCCUGUGAGGGUGAGCGAAUCUCGGAAAGCCGGUCUCAGUUCGGAUUGGGGUCUGCAACUCGACCUCAUGAAGUCGGAGUCGCUAGUAAUCGCAGAUCAGCAACGCUGCGGUGAAUACGUUCCCGGG
rnacentral:rRNA from 1 species